ACGAGAGGCCCAAACGUUAUUCGGAAUUACUGGGCUUAAAGAGUCCGUAGGCGGCGCGGAAAGUGGGGUGUGAAAGCCCUCGGCUCAACCGAGGAAUUGCGCUCCAAACUACCGUGCUUGAGGAACCUAGAGGUGAGCAGAACUGAUGGUGGAGCGGUGAAAUGCGUUGAUAUCAUCAGGAAUACCGGAGGCGAAGGCGGCUCACUGGGGGUUUUCUGACGCUGAGGGACGAAAGCCAGGGUAGCGAACGGGA
rnacentral:rRNA from 1 species